rnacentral:rRNA from 1 species
UACGGAGGGGGCAAGCGUUGUUCGGAAUCACUGGGUGUAAAGGGUGCGUAGGCGGUCCGUUAAGUCUGAUGUGAAAUCCCUCGGCUCAACCGGGGAACUGCGUCCGAUACUGGCGGGCUUGAAUUCGGGAGAGGGAUGUGGAAUUCCAGGUGUAGCGGUGAAAUGCGUAGAUAUCUGGAGGAACACCGGUGGCGAAGGCGGCAUCCUGGACCGACAUUGACGCUGAGGCGCGAAAGCCAGGGGAGCAAACGGG